rnacentral:rRNA from 1 species
UACGGGGGGAGCAAGCGUUGUUCGGAUUUACUGGGCGUAAAGGGCGCGUAGGCGGCGUAACAAGUCACUUGUGAAAUCUCCGGGCUUAACUCGGAGCGGUCAAGUGAUACUGUUGUGCUAGAGUGCGGAAGGGGCUACUGGAAUUCUCGGUGUAGCGGUGAAAUGCGUAGAUAUCGAGAGGAACACCUGCGGCGAAGGCGGGUAGCUGGGCCGACACUGACGCUGAAGCGCGAAAGCUAGGGGGAGCGAACGGG